rnacentral:rRNA from 1 species
UCAGAUUGAACGCUGGCGGCAGGCCUAACACAUGCAAGUCGAGCGGCAGCGGAAAGUAGCUUGCUACUUUGCCGGCGAGCGGCGGACGGGUGAGUAAUGUCUGGGGAUCUGCCUGAUGGAGGGGGAUAACUACUGGAAACGGUAGCUAAUACCGCAUAACGUCGCAAGACCAAAGCGGGGGACCUUCGGGCCUCGCGCCAUCAGAUGAACCCAGAUGGGAUUAGCUAGUAGGUGGGGUAAUGGCUCACCUAGGCGACGAUCCCUAGCUGGUCUGAGAGGAUGACCAGCCACACUGGAACUGAGACACGGUCCAGACUCCUACGGGAGGCAGCAGUGGGGAAUAUUGCACAAUGGGGGAAACCCUGAUGCAGCCAUGCCGCGUGUAUGAAGAAGGCCUUCGGGUUGUAAAGUACUUUCAGCGAGGAGGAAG